ensembl:lncRNA
CUGAAACCUCACGCAUUCACAGUGAGACACACGCAUUUCAACCAGUUCCCACGCUCACAAUUGUGCGGGUAUUCCACACUUGACCAAUUAUAUCAUUCUGUUCUAGAUUUUAAAAAAUAUCAGCGUGCUUUUUUUGGUUAUACAUGAUGUCAUUAUCUGAAGGCAGCGGCUAUUUACACUAAGUAAUAGCAGCAUUUGAUAUCUGUUGAGCAUCUGUCGCUGAAGAAUUUUCCAGACGCCAUAUUUUUUCUCACUUCACAGAGGAUGGAAAAAAAGAGCAAUGGGUGAAUCAUACGGCAGAGAACCGAGAGGAGCCACCAGGCUAGCUAGAUAGCUAAUUAUCUGGCAAGAUGAGACUACAAGCUACAACAUUGAUGCUGGUCUCACCAGUGAGUCUCCCAGAGAAGGAAUUGUGUGCAAAACUUUUGAACUAGGUUUAAUGUUAGUGUUGCUGUUGUCAAAGUCGGCUAUGCAAAUAGCCACGAGAGUCACGCACAGAUUCUAUCCUUUGUUAAAGUUUAAGUUAUUAUGUGCGCAGUGUGGCUGUAGCUGACAGUUUUGUGGACAAACUUCUCACAGAACUUUUCUCAGAGCAUCACCAUGCAUUUAAAGUACACAGAUGUGACUUGGGUG